AUUGAACGCUGGCGGCAUGCCUUACACAUGCAAGUCGAACGGCAGCACGGGUGCUUGCACCUGGUGGCGAGUGGCGAACGGGUGAGUAAUACAUCGGAACGUACCUUAUCGUGGGGGAUAACGCAGCGAAAGCUGUGCUAAUACCGCAUACGCCCUGAGGGGGAAAGCGGGGGAUCGAAAGACCUCGCGCGAUUAGAGCGGCCGAUGCCUGAUUAGCUUGUUGGUGGGGUAAGAGCCCACCAAGGCGACGAUCAGUAGCUGGUCUGAGAGGACGAUCAGCCACACUGGGACUGAGACACGGCCCAGACUCCUACGGGAGGCAGCAGUGGGGAAUUUUGGACGAUGGGGGCAACCCUGAUCCAGCAAUGCCGCGUGAGUGAAGAAGGCCUUCGGGUUGUAAAGCUCUUUUGUCAGGGAAGAAACACCGGCUCUAACACAGUCCGGGAAUGACGGUACCUGAAGAAUAAGCACCGGCUAACUACGUGCCAGCCGCCGCAGUAA
rnacentral:rRNA from 1 species